rnacentral:lncRNA from 1 species
AGAUCAAGAAUGAUAUGGAGGGAGGUGGUGAGAUCACCGUAUUUAGUUGUACCAUAGUGAUCCUACGUGGCAGUGAUUCUAAAUCACCUCCACUCCUCAAAUCACCGCCCAACUCGGUGAUGAAAUUUCCGUCCUUGAGGUCGGAAAUCCAAGAUCACCCCAGAGUAGUAAUCCUGGAUUAAAAGUUAAAGACAAAAAUACCCCUCAAUUUAGCAGAAAAAUUAAUAUAUUAUUAUAUUAAUGAUAUAUGUAUUAUAUUAUAAUAUACUACUAAUCAUAUUAUUAUACUAUUAUUAUUGAAGGAUAAUUUUAAAUUAUAGUAGAAAUAUAUUAUUAUAUUUUAUAUUUAUAUAAUGAAAAUAUUUUAUAUAUUACUCCUAUUUACCUUAUUUUCCUAAUCAAAAUAAUUAUUAGUAUUAAAAAAUCUAUCAUAAGUGUAAAUAAAAAUAUUAAUUCUGUAAUAAAAAAUAACAUAUUUUUAUAAGAUUCAUAAUUUAUAGGAGUAAUAAAUAUAUUUUUAUAGAAUAUAUUAAUAAUUAAUAUAUUGAUAAAUAUAUUAAUAUUUUAUUAUAAUAUAUUUUAUAUGAUUAAUAAAUAUAUGAUAAGGGCUACUAAAAGUAGAAUAUGUGACAAAAUUAUGGAGCUAUUAUAGGAAUUAACAUAUUGACUUACAUUUUUAAUUCAUGAGAAUUAAAAACACAUAAAAAAAUCCAUCUAAGAUAUAUCAGGGGUAUUUGUGGUAUUAUGUGGUUGGUGAUCUUGGAUCUCCAUACCAUACCAAACAAGUUACUCAUGGAUACUCGGAGAUUUUUAAUCACUGGACCAUGGCCUACCAAAUACAUUAAUCUUAGAUCACUGGGGAUCAAAUCACCCCAGCAUUCGGAUCACCGGGAUCAUAGAUCACCGUGGUGAUCUU